UACAGAGGGGGCAAGCGUUGUUCGGAAUUACUGGGCGUAAAGGGCUCGUAGGCGGCCAACUAAGUCAGACGUGAAAUCCCUCGGCUUAACCGGGGAACUGCGUCUGAUACUGGAUGGCUUGAAUCCGGGAGAGGGAUGCAGAAUUCCAGGUGUAGCGGUGAAAUGCGUAGAUAUCUGGAGGAAUACCGGUGGCGAAGGCGGCAUCCUGGACCGGCAUUGACGCUGAUGAGCGAAAGCUAGGGGAGCAAACGGG
rnacentral:rRNA from 1 species